CGCACUCCUCCUUACUAUGGGGAUUUUUCACACAUCAGCUUGUUGUGUCAUUCCAGAAAUGUGGACAGAACCAGAAAUACACCACUUAGUCCCCAGGAAGCCCACCUUCCAGGGCAGGCAGGUAGUGAGAAGGGGCUCUUUCUCUGCUCUGGGCUCAGCAUUUGGGGUCACAGAGGGGAGCUAGCCUGAGAGGCUGUGCUGGCAAAGGAAGGAAUUGUGAAUGAUCUGGGGCCAUGGGUGAGGGUUCCUGAGGCAAAAAACCAGAAACUACACUGAGGUGAGGAUUUUCAAGACCUUGAUCCUGGUCUUGGCUGCUGUCUGAAGCUUGGGAUGCAGGCUCUUGCUGCACGUACCUGAGGAUGAGGCAGCCACAGGCUUUAUUUGGUUCCUGGUGAUUCUACAUGUGUCAUGAAUUACACCCCUGAGAAAGCCAUUCCAUUAAAUCUCACAGCAACAUCUCCAGGAGAGGGGACAGAUAUUGAUGUCUGUGGUGUCUGUGGCAACCCAGGACCAGUGUAAAAGAAACUAUGAGAUCUUAGGAAAGUCAUUAAUUUUUUUGAUCUUUACUUCCUUUUACAAAAUAUCUCAAGAAUACCAGCCUCCUUAGGGUUAUUGGGUGGAACAAAUGAGAAAAUAGUUAAGAAUGCAGCGGAUCAACUGCCAAUCCCUGCGCAAGUAUGUUCAGUUAGUUCUGUUCUGUCUCCAGUUCACUCUGUUCUCACGUCUAGGCCUUGGACAGCUACUAAUGUGGUCCCACAAGAUUGUAAACUUUUUUUCUCUCCUUUUUUUUCUCUUCAGUAUUAGGGAUUGAACUCAGGCCCUUGCACUUGCCAGGCAGGCACAGCACCGCUGAGCUACAUCCCUGGCCCAAGAUUGUAAACUUUUAACAUUAUUGUGUGAUUUUUUUAGCGACACUAUUCAUGACUUGAUUGUCCAUUGCUGGAGUGUAGAUUAUAAGUAAAAUGCAGAGAUUACCAGUAAUAGUAUUGCAACCUACCUAAACUAUGUGCCUGUGGAAAGAGGUGUCUGUUAAGAAAACAUGUAAGUUUUCAUAUUUCAUUAUUAAACUUGGGCUUCUUUUAUUUCAUAGAAUAAUUUAAUAAGUUAAAAUAUUAAAAAUAAAUGAAGUUUUGUUACUUAUAUAUAUCAACUAUAUUACAUAUUUUAUAUGCAGCUCAAGACAAUUCUUCACCUCAGUGUGGCCCAGACAAGCCAUAAGGUUGGAUAUCCAUAGUCUGGAUCCUUACUACCACAGCAUACUCAUCCCUCAGGAGCAAGUGAGAAAAUGCAAGCUCUUGGGCCCAUCCCAGACCUUAUAAGUCAGAAUCUGCAGUUUAUCAAGAUCCCCAGUUACUCAUACAUGCUGUAAAAUUCGAGAGCUGGAAGACCUACCUCCCAGGCUGGCCUCAACUGUCUGGAUGAGGAGACUGUGAAAGAUCUGGACCUCAAUGUCAAGUACUCUGUAGUCAAGAAAAAUAAGUUUUCCCUGAAACUGGGCUCUGGGGUGAGAAUGUCCACCUUGUCCUACCCCAGGGCCUCAGAUGUUCU
rnacentral:lncRNA from 1 species